rnacentral:rRNA from 1 species
AUGCUCUGUCGACGAUGCCACGCCCGCUGUAAGCUUGUUGGGCUGCCCUUAGAAGAUCUCCCUAUCACCUACUUGGGCAUCCCACUAACGCUGCGCUGCCCCACUGCUGCACAAUUGCAACCCAUCGCUGACAAAACGGCCUGCAUGCUACCUAGUUGGAAGGCGUGCCUCAUGAACAAGGCCGACCGCCUUGUGUUCGUAAAGGCCGUCCUGAGCACGAUCCCGAUCCAUCAGCUACUUGCUCUGGCGCCCCCCAAGAAAACCAUCAGGGCGCUCGAAAAGAUCCAGAGAGGCUUCCUCUGGGCCGGGCGCGUGGAGGCGAACGGUGGGCACUGCCAUGUCAACUAG